rnacentral:rRNA from 1 species
UACGUAGGGGGCGAGCGUUGUCCGGAUUUAUUGGGCGUAAAGAGCUCGUAGGCGGCUUGCCACGUCUGCCGUGAAAACCAGCAGCUUAACUGUUGGCUUGCGGUUGAUACGGGUUGGCUGGAGUUCGGUAGGGGAGACUGGAAUUCCUGGUGUAGCGGUGAAAUGCGCAGAGAUCGGGAAGAACAUCGGUGGCGAAAGCGCUCUACUGGGCCAUAACUGACACUCAGGGGACGAAAGCUAGGGGAGCGAAUGGG